CCAGUUCUCAGGCGAGAGCCGCGGCUGACAGGGUCUGGGACAGAAGGAAAGCCCUCCAGCCUCCAGGCCCUGCCUUCUGCCUGCACAUUCUGCCCUGAUUUCCGGAACCUGGAAGCCUAGGCAGGCAGUGGGGAACUCUGACUCGCCUGUGCUCUGGAGCUUGAUCCGAAAGCUUCCACAGUGAGGACUGCUCCGUGGGGGUAAGAGAGCACCAGGCACUGAGGCCUGGGAGUUCCACAGACCAACACCCCUGCUCCUGGCGGCUCCCACCCGGGACUUAGACCCUCAGGUCCCUAAUAUCCCGGAGGUGCUCUCAAUCAGAAAGGUCCUGCUCCGCUUCGCAGUGGAAUGGAACGGAUUUAGAAGCCUGCAGUAGGGGAGUGGGGAGUGGAGAGAGGGAGCCCAGAGUUACAGACGGCGGCGAGAGGAAGGAGGGGCGUCUUUAUUUUUUUAAGGCCCCAAAGAGUCUGAUGUUUACAAGACCAGAAAUGCCACGGCCGCGUCCUGGCAGAGAAAAGGCUGAAAUGGAGGACCGGCGCCUUCCUUAUAAGCUCGUUGGGGCCUAAGCCAGUACCGACCUGGUAGAAAAAGCAACCACGAAGCUAGAGAGAGAGCCAGAGGAGGGAAGAGAGCGCCAGACGAAGGUGAAAGCGAACCACGCAGAGAAAUGCAGGCAAGGGAGCAAGGCGGCAGUUCCCGGAACAAACGUGGCAGAGGGCAAGACGGGCACUCACAGACAGAGGUUUAUGUAUUUUUAUUUUUUAAAAUCUGAUUUGGUGUUCCAUGAGGAAAAGGGAAAAUCUAGGGAACGGGAGUACAGAGAGAAUAAUCCGGGUCCUAGCUCGCCACAUGAACGCCCAGAGAACGCUGGAAAAACCUGAGCGGGUGCCGGGGCAGCACCCGGCUCGGGUCAGCCACUGCCCCACACCGGGCCCACCAAGCCCCGCCCCUCGCGGCCACCGGGGCUUCCUUGCUCUUCUUAUCAUCUCCAUCUUUAUGAUGAGGCUUGUUAACAAGACCAGAGAGCUGGCCAAGCACCUCUAUCUCAGCCGCGCCCGCUCAGCCGAGCAGCGGUCGGUGGGGGGACUGGGAGGCGCUAAUUAAUUGAUUCCUUUGGACUGUAAAAUAUGGCGGCGUCUACACGGAACCCAUGGACUCAUAAACAAUAUAUCUGUUGGGCGUGAGUGCACUGUCUCUCAAAUAAUUUUUCCAUAGGCAAAUGUCAGAGGGUUCUGGAUUUUUAGUUGCUAAGGAAAGAUCCAAAUGGGACCAAUUUUAGGAGGCCCAAACAGAGUCCGUUCAGUGUCAGAAAAUGCUUCCCCAAAGGGGUUGGGAGUGUGUUUUGUUGGAAAAAAGCUUGGGUUAUAGGAAAGCCUUUCCCUGCUACUUGUGUAGACCCAGCCCAAUUUAAGAAUUACAAGGAAGCGAAGGGGUUGUGUAGGCCGGAAGCCUCUCUGUCCCGGCUGGAUGCAGGGGACUUGAGCUGCUCCGGAAUUUGAGAGGAACAUAGAAGCAAAGGUCCAGCCUUUGCUUCGUGCUGAUUCCUAGACUUAAGAUUCAAAAACAAAUUUUUAAAAGUGAAACCAGCCCUAGCCUUUGGAAGCUCUUGAAGGUUCAGCACCCACCCAGGAAUCCACCUGCCUGUUACACGCCUCUCCAAGACACAGUGGCACCGCUUUUCUAACUGGCAGCACAGAGCAACUCUAUAAUAUGCUUAUAUUAGGUCUAGAAGAAUGCAUCUUGAGACACAUGGGUAACCUAAUUAUAUAAUGCUUGUUCCAUACAGGAGUGAUUAUGCAGUGGGACCCUGCUGCAAACGGGACUUUGCACUCUAAAUAUAGACCCCAGCUUGGGACAAAAGUUGCAGUAGAAAAAUAGACAUAGGAGAACACUUAAAUAAGUGAUGCAUGUAGACACAGAAGGGGUAUUUAAAAGACAGAAAUAAUAGAAGUACAGAAGAACAGAAAAAAAAUCAGCAGAUGGAGAUUACCAUUCCCAAUGCCUGAACUUCCUCCUGCUAUUAAGAUUGCUAGAGAAUUGUGUCUUAAACAGUUCAUGAACCCAGAAGAAUGCAAUUUCAAUGUAUUUAGUACACACACAGUAUGUAUAUAAACACAACUCACAGAAUAUAUUUUCCAUACAUUGGGUAGGUAUGCACUUUGUGUAUAUAUAAUAAUGUAUUUUCCAUGCAGUUUUAAAAUGUAGAUAUAUUAAUAUCUGGAUGCAUUUUCUGUGCACUGGUUUUAUAUGCCUUAUGGAGUAUAUACUCACAUGUAGCUAAAUAGACUCAGGACUGCACAUUCCUUGUGUAGGUUGUGUGUGUGUGGUGGUUUUAUGCAUAAAUAAAGUUUUACAUGUGGUGAAUAUA
rnacentral:lncRNA from 1 species